ACUACAUUUAAGUGUUAGCGACGGAAUCAUCGACGAAUUAUUUGUGGGUAAUGUUACAGAUUAAGCAUCGUUAUCUUUUAAUACAAAUUUCCUAGGGCACAAAACCCUUUCACACAAAUUUAAUCACUCACUCUCUUCCUCUUUGCUGCUCAUUGCUACACAAAAUAUUCCUAGGGCACGAAUUGACUCACUCACUUUCUUUCUCUUUGCUGCUCAUUGCUACACAUACAGAGCAGGCUAUCUGUGGGAAGAGAAUCGAUCAAGAUCAUCUUCCUCUUUGUUGGUCGUUGUGUGUUUCACUCUAGGAAGAAAUUCCGAUCGAGCUCAUCUUCCUCUUUGCAGAUCGUUUCUACUCGUUGCUAUAUGGAAAGCUUGUUUUAUUGUUGUUGGUUCAUCAAAAGGCAUGAAGUGAGGCAGAGGUCGAGGUAACACAACUCGUGCAAGCAAGACCUCAAUUACAGGUCGAGGUAGCACAACUAGAGUUUAUAUGCCUACUGUUCCAAUUCUCAUAACUAAUUCUCAACAAGGUGGUAUCAAUUCUUCUGCUGGACCAGAUUAUGUCAACCAAAAUCAAACAUUAGCUCCUACUAAUUCGCCUCCUGCUCAAACAACAGCUCAUGGUAGUACUCCAUCUGUUCAUUUUGAAACACGUCAUGUAAUAUCUAAUCAGAGCAAUGGAAUACGCGAAAGUGCAUCUACUCAAAGAAAUGUGAUAGGGGAGGUGCCUACAUCUAGCCGGAACAACACAAUAGGUGAAGGUGAGAGUAAUAAUAAUUCUGGACAGCGGACACUUGUUUUUCCUUCGCGUAAGUUUAUACUUGCACUAUUGUUAUUAAUAUACUGUAAUUUCUUCAUGAUAGACUUCAUAUAAUAUAUUUUUGUCAUUUUGGAACCAUCAAAUAUUUGCUCUAACAGGAUAGGGGAGUCUUUCAAGAGUAAACUUGAUCCUAAUGGAAUUAAUUGAAAAGUGUCUCACAAGAAAUAAAAGAUUUUUAUCUCAGAGAAUUCGAGAAGGAAUUUUGUUGGGAUCCUUCCAUUGAUAGUGAAGUGAAGAUACUAAAGUUGCGAGAAGGAACACUGAUUUCUUGCUUAAAAAAAGAUAGAUGCAGUUCGGCCAAGAUAUGUUCCGAAAGAAACAUGGAAAAGUCGGUUGAGACUUUGAAAAGAUCCCAAGGUUAUUGAAAAGUUAAAAAAUGAACUCAAAAAAUCAGUGUGGCGGUCAAAACAUAAAUCUAUUUUAUAUGUGUGAUCUUAACCCUUCGGAUCGCUGAAGUGCCUUUGUAUUAAGUUUGCAAUCCCACAAUUCGAGACUAGAAAAUGCUUCCUCCUUAAUACUUUCAUGGGAAAGAACAGACAGUUCUUGCAUUUGAGCCUUCUCUUUGUAACAUUGAGAUAUAUCAUCAUAUUAUUGAUGCAUUUCCUACAAUUGUUCAACCAA